UACAGAGGGUGCAAGCGUUAAUCGGAAUUACUGGGCGUAAAGCGCACGUAGGCGGUUUUUUAAGUCAGAUGUGAAAGACCCCCGGGCCGUCAACCUGGGAAGUUGCAUUUGAAACUAGGGGAACGUAGAGUGUGUGAGAGGGGGGUAGGAAUUCCAAGUGUAGCGGUGAAAUGCGUAGAGAUUUGGAGGAAUACCAGUGGCGAAGGCGGCCCCCUGGCACAACACUGACGCUCAGGUGCGAAAGCGUGGGGAGCAAACAGGAUUAGAUACCCCGGUAGU
rnacentral:rRNA from 1 species